CAGCCGCCGCGGUAAUACGAGGGGUGCAAGCGUUAUUCGGAUUGAUUGGGUGUAAAGGGUGUGCAGACGGCUUAUUAAGUCACUUGUUAAAUUCUUCGGCCUAACUGAAGGUCUGCAAGUGAUACUGAUGAGCUAGAGGGUGGAAGAGAGAAGUGGAAUUCUCGGAGUAGCGGUAAAAUGCGUAGAUCUCGAGAGGAACACCAAUGGCGAAGGCAGCUUCUUGGUCCAUUCCUGACGUUCAUACACGAAAGCGUGGGGAGCAAACAGGAUUAGAUACCCCCGUAGUCCCUGUCUCUUAUAC
rnacentral:rRNA from 1 species